rnacentral:SRP_RNA from 13 species
UUGCCGUUGUUCUGGCGGUCGAGGAGAACCUCGAGAGCCCCCGCGCGCAAGUCGAAGUAGGCCUGGUCGAGCUGGUUCUCGAAGGGGGCGCGGGCCGACGGGAAGCAAGGCAGCACGCCCAAGGUCAAGUAGC